UGGGCAACCUGCCCUCAGCUCUGGGAUAACUCCGGGAAACCAGGGCUAAUACCGGAUACGACCUUCCCUGGCAUCGGGGUGGGUGGAAAGUUCUUCGGCUGAGGAUGGGCCCGCGGCCUAUCAGCUUGUUGGUGGGGUGACGGCCUACCAAGGCGACGACGGGUAGCCGGCCUGAGAGGGCGACCGGCCACACUGGGACUGAGACACGGCCCAGACUCCUACGGGAGGCA
rnacentral:rRNA from 1 species